rnacentral:rRNA from 1 species
UACGGAAGGUGCGAGCGUUAAUCGGAAUUACUGGGCGUAAAGCGCACGUAGGUGGUUUUAUAAGUCGGAUGUGAAAGCCCCGGGCUUAACCUGGGAAUUGCAUCUGAUACUGUCUGACUAGAGUAUGCUAGAGGGAAGUGGAAUUCCAGGUGUAGCGGUGAAAUGCGUAGAUAUCUGGAGGAACACCGGUGGCGAAGGCAGGUCUCUGGGCAUUAACUGACGCUGAGGAGCGAAAGCAUGGGGAGCGAACAGG